AAGGAGAAACAGAAGAACAGCAACAACAAUAACAAGAACAUUAAGAGACUGAACACAGACGAAAAAAUAAACUAAAAUCAAUCGUGUGUAAAUCUUUAGUCACGGAACUCCCAAUCAAUCAGUCAAUCAAUCCAUCAAUCAAAUCUCCUCAUGAUUACCUGACAUUACCUGAAACACCUGAAAAUAUCACCAGGAGUUAUGAAUGUGGUGGCGGUAGUAGCGGUGGUGGUGGUGAUGGUAGUGACAGUAGUAGAAGGGGACCCGCGCGUGACAGUGUGCUCUCAGCGUGACUUACGAAACACUAUCAGUAAUUUAUGCAGCAUCAGAAGACAGCGAUCUAUCUGGUCUUUCCUAUUCUCCUCCUCCUCUCCUCCUUCUUCCUCCUCCUCUUCUCAUCAAUCAAUUUUCUUCCCUCAUACCUUCACUUACUCAGACUCUUCAACUUCUUCCUCCUCCUCCUCCUCCUCCUCCUCCUCCUCCUCUUCCUUGCUGACACAUCUGGGUAUUAAAGGAAGGCCUAGGACACACAGCACCCAAGAAGACACCACCGAGGGACUCACAAGGACGUACCCUCUUAUUCUACCAUCUCUAGUGGGGCGUGGGGACGUGGGUUUGUCUAUGCAUGGGGCUGAGGGCGUGGGGAGGCAUCGAGUGGGUGCUGGCGGGCGUAGAAGUAGGUGGAGGGUGGGUAAGAACAAGUGGUGGGUGAACAAAGACGUAAUCAAGAGACAUUUCCUGACGAAGAGAAAAGUUCGGACGCUUGGUGAUUUGCGCAGGAGGUGUUGUGUGCGUGGCUGUCUGGAGAGUGAGCUGCUGUCCGCGUGUAUAUGAGAGAGAGAAAGAGAGAGGGGGGGAAAGGUGAAGGGGUAGUGAUCACGCUUAUAACUUCCUAUAUCAGUAGAAAAACAACAAUUAAUACUAUAUAGGAUCUCAUACAAAAAGACAUUGGGUUCUUGUACUCUUUCUCCUCAUAAAAAUACAUGUAAAAUAAAGAAAUAAACUAGAAACUAA